rnacentral:misc_RNA from 1 species
GUUUCCGGGUGCGAAGCAGUUCGAAGCUGAGACUCCAGAAGGGUGCCUCUCCUGGCUCGAUCCGGGACGGGACGUUCGGCACGCAACACUGGACAUCUCCCCUCCAUUUCCAGUUUUUCUCAGUCUUUUCAGUUGAACUUCUUUCUGCCCGCUCUAGUAGAAACUGUUUUUAUUUCAUCGUUUUCCAUGGACCGGGUUUAGAAGACACCAUGUCCAACAAUGAGAAGAAAGAGGAGGGUACCUCAAUUCCAGAGGAAUCCACCCAGUGUGGUGGGUCUCAGGCUACAGCAGAGAUCGCUUCAUCAAUCGAGUCAGAGACAGUGUCGGAUUCUGGCUCUGACAAUGUCGCAGAAAAAGAAGUCAGUCUUAAAGGCUCUGAGGACAAAACUAAAAUAACUCUGACUGAUUUACCCACAGAGGUUUUUCUUCAAAUUUGCUCAUACUUGAGCGCACGACUUCUUAUGCAAACUCUAAGACUUGUCAGCAAGAGACUGAAUGAAAUUUUGUCUGAUGAUUUUAUUUGGAGAUCUCGGAUCUGCAAAAAAUGGGGACAAGUUUAUCCCCCUAUUCCAGCGGACAGAGACUCUGUUAACUGGAAAGCUGCUUGCAUAAACCUGGAAGAACAGCAGGAACGUUGGUCCAAUAUGCAAAGUGCAAUGAAACAUAUAUCUUGGAGAGAUGUUCAUGUAGCAUCUAUUGAUGCAAUUAUGCUCAUCAACAGAGGAGAGCUCUGUGUUUCAGGUUCACGUGAUCGAAACCUUGCUGUUUGGGAUGUGAAAACAUGUAAUCCUAGACCCCUCACAUACACUGAAGCUCACAAAGGGUGGAUAUGGGGUCUUGCUGCCAAGUCUGAUUCAUCAUUUUAUACUUGUUCUUGGGACUGCACAACAAAACUUUGGACUUUUGAUGAAGGCAGGCUUUCAGCAAGUGACACUUUUAAAAAUGAACGUGCUGCUGCUGCUGCAAUGCUGUGUGUGGCUUGUGGACCUAAUCUUCUGGCUGUUGGCACAUAUGAUAAACGAGUCAUACUCUGGGAUCCCAGAUGUGAGUCAAAGCCAAUUCACUCAUAUUCUGCUCACCGUCGUCCUGUUCUGAAGCUGUGUCUCUUAGAAGAAUCUGGCACAACUGAUUCAGUUGUGUCAAUUAGUGAAGAUAAAACUUUAGCUGUGUGGGAUGUUCGUGCUGGAAAGAUAUUAAAAAAUAAUGUCAAGAUUGGUGCCAGUGACCCAGAGAGUACAGCCUUCCCCAUGAGCAUGUCACUCAACAGUAAUAUGCUUUAUGUUGGUGAUUCAAAAAAUAAAUUACACUUGAUAGAUCCUCGUAAGAGUUCCCCCACAAGAUUUGAUGUGAUUGCUUCUUAUGAUGCUGGUCACAGAGAUCAGUGCAAGAUAACUGCUGUUCGACAUGGGUUAGGCUGCAUAAUCACAGGAUCCUCUGAUGGAACGGUUAGAGUGUCCACACCUACUCACCAUCCAGAGUUUAUUACGAGUUUCACAACUAUAGGCACAGAAGUGGCAGCUCUUGAUUUUCAACAUGGCAUACUUGCAGUUGGUUGCACUAAUUGUGCUGUUGAGCUCUGGGUUCCUGAUCAGGAAGUUGAUGCUUAAGAUGCUGUAGUGCCCCUGAGACUACCAGCUAAAUCAUGUGAUAUAGUGCAGAUCUAUGCACAUUCCUUAAAACUAUACAAAAACUUUCCUCUUCUUUUGGAUAAAAAGUACUUAGAGAGCUUAACUUUACUAGUAGAUGAUUUGACUGACAAACAACUACACAGAUUGAUAAGUGUUUAUGAUGUCAAAUUUACUUCCAAAUAAUCAGUGGUUCAUCUUUAAUGUAUUCUUAUGAUUGUUGGUGUACUGUCAAUUAAUCAAUUUGGGUUCCUUUGUGGAAUCAAUCAACAUAGAUCGAACCAUAGUAAAAGCUGUUGUGCUCAUUAUGAGACCACUUAAGUAAGUAAUGUAAGAUCAUAACUUAUUUUUUAUAGAAAAUCAUUCACAUUGUUUAUUAUGUUAACUCACAUAUAAUUUAUUUACAAUAAAAAAAGUAGUAGUGUUUUGGUGAAUAUGAAUACAA